CCUACGGGAGGCAGCAGUGGGGAAUAUUGGACAAUGGGGGAAACCCUGAUCCAGCGACGCCGCGUGAGUGAAGAAGUAUUUCGGUACGUAAAGCUCUAUCAGCAGGAAAGAAAAUGACGGUACCUGACUAAGAAGCCCCGGCUAACUACGUGCCCGCAGCCGCGGUAAUACGUAGGGGGCAAGCGUUAUCCGGAUUUACUGGGUGGAAAGGGAGCGUAGACGGCAGCGCAAGUCUGGAGUGAAAUGCCGGGGCCCAACCCCGGAACUGCUCUGGAAACUGUGAAGCUGGAGUGCAGGAGAGGUAAGCGGAAUUCCUGGUGUAGCGGUGAAAUGCGUAGAUAACAGGAGGAACACCGGCGGCGAAGGCGGCUUACUGGACUGUAACUGACGUUGAGGCUCGAAGGCGUGGGGAGCAAACAGGAUUAGAUACCCCUGUAGUC
rnacentral:rRNA from 1 species